rnacentral:rRNA from 1 species
GAUGAACGCUUGCGGCAGGCUUAAUACAUGCAAGUCGAACGGUAACAGGGUCUUCGGACUGCUGACGAGUGGCGGAUGGGUGAGUAACGCGUAUGCAACCUUCCUCACACCGAGAAAAAGUCGACUGAAAAGUUGAAUAAAGUCUCGUGGUGUGCAUUUCUCGCAUGAGAGAUGUAUGAUAGAAGCAAUUUGGUGUGAGAUGGGCAUGCGUAUCAUUAGCUAGUUGGUAAGGUAACGGCUUACCAAGGCUACGAUGAUUAGGGGGCCUGAGAGGGUGGUCCCCCACACUGGGACUGAGACACGGCCCAGACUCCUACGGGAGGCAGCAGUAGGGAAUAUUGGUCAAUGGGCGGAAGCCUGAACCAGCCAUGCCGCGUGAUGGAUGACGGCCUUAGGGUUGUAAACAUCUUUUCUGCUAGAGGAAUAGAGUUCACGUGUGGACAGACGACUGUAUAGCAGGAAUAAGGAUCGGCUAACUCUGUGCCAGCAGCCGCGGUAAUACGGAGGAUUCGAGCGUUAUCCGGAUUUACUGGGUUUAAAGGGUGCGCAGGCGGGCUCUUAAGUCAGCGGUGAAAUGUCUGGGCUUACCCUAGGAAUUGCCGUUGAUACUGGGAGUCUUGGAUAAGCAUAAGGACGGCGGAAUGCGUAGUGUAGCGGUGAAAUGCUUAGAUAUUACGUAGAAGACCAAUUGCGAAGGCAGCUGUCUGGGUCUUUAUCGACGCUCAAGCACGAAAGCGUGGGGAGCAAACAGG